rnacentral:rRNA from 1 species
GUGCCAGCAGCCGCGGUAAGACAGAGGGUGCAAACGUUGUUCGGAAUUACUGGGCGUAAAGCGCGUGUAGGCGGCAGGGUGUGUCGGAUGUGAAAUCCCGUGGCUCAACCACGGAAGUGCACCCGAAACUACCCAGCUCGAGUCUCGGAGAGGAAGGUGGAAUGCUUGGUGUAGAGGUGAAAUUCGUAGAUAUCAAGCGGAACACCGGUGGCGAAGGCGGCCUUCUGGACGAUGACUGACGCUGAGACGCGAAAGCGUGGGGAGCAAACAGGAUUAGAUACCCUUGUAGUCC